CAUGUACUCCCUCUAGCCCAAAAUUCUUGUCUUAGAUUUGUCUAUAUAUGAAUGUAUCUAGUCACGUUUUAGUAUUUAGAUACAUUCAUUUCUAGACAAACCUAAGACAAGAAUUUUGCGACGGAGGGAGUAUCAU
rnacentral:pre_miRNA from 1 species